rnacentral:rRNA from 1 species
GACGAACGCUGGCGGCGUGCUUAACACAUGCAAGUCGAACGGACAGGCCCUGCUUUUGUGGGGUGCUCGAGCGGCGAACGGGUGAGUAACACGUGAGUAACCUGUCCUUGACUUUGGGAUAACUUCAGGAAACUGGGGCUAAUACCGGAUAGGAGCUCCUGCUGCAUGGUGGGGGUUGGAAAGUUUCGGCGGUUGGGGAUGGACUAGCGGCUUAUCAGCUUGUUGGUGGGGUAGUGGCUUACCAAGGUUUUGACGGCUAGCCGGCCUGAGAGGGUGACCGGCCACAUUGGGACUGAGAUACGGCCCAGACUCCUACGGGAGGCAGCAGUGGAGAGUAUUGCACAAUGGGCGGAAGCCUGAUGCAGCAACGCCGCGUGCGGGAUGACGUCCUUCGAGUUGUAAACCGCUUUCGCCUGUGACGAAGCGUGAGUGACGGUAAUGGGUAAAGAAGCACCGGCUAACUACGUG